GCUCCAGUGGUGCAGUUAGUGAGUACACUCUAUUUACACCACUAAGCAGUGCUGAGAUUGUGAGUUCAAGUCUCACCUGGAGCA